GAGGAUAUAGCUCAGUGGCAGAGCAUGGGUUUAGCAUGCACAAGGUCCUGGGUUCAAUCCCCAGUACCUCCU
rnacentral:tRNA from 1 species